rnacentral:lncRNA from 10 species
CUUGACUCCUUUCUGCUUAAUAAUUUGAAAAUCAAAACUUAAUUGGUCAUAUCAUCAAAAAUAUUAUGUUAAGUGACAUAAGCCAGGCAAAAAGACAAACACGAAGAAUUUUUAAAAGUCCAUUUCAUAGAAAUAGCAGAAUCGUGGUUAUCAUGGGCUAGGCAGGGGAAGGGAGCAGGGCCAAUGAAGAGAGGUUGCUCAACAGGUACAUAAUUACAGUUAGUAGAAGGAAUAAGUUCUAGUGUUCUAUAUAUUUUAAUUUUAUUUUUUUAUUUUUUUUGAGACAGGGUCUUGCUCUGCCACCCAGGCUGGAGUGCAGUGGCACAAUUAUAGCCCACUGCAGCCUUGGCUUCCUGAGCUCAAGAGAUCCUCCCACCUUAGCCUCCCAAGUAACUGGGACUACAGUUUCAGGUAUGUCUUUAUCAGCAGUAUGAAAAUGGACUGAUACACAUGCCAUACCUAUAUUUCUGACUUACAAAAGCAUGAGCUAAUAAACAUGUGCUGUUUUAAACUGCUACGUUCAUGCUUCCUCUCAGUAUCUGAUGACAAUGAGAAAUGCAUUUGAAGAGAUAAACACUUCCCGAAAGACCAUCAUGAUAGGAGCUGAUACUCACAGAUGCCUUAGUGAAUGAUUACGUCUCAGGAUGCCAUAAGGAAUACACAGAAGGGUACAAUCUCAAGCCUUGUCUGUAUCGAGUGCUGGAGAAUAUGUGGACAAUAGGAACCAGCAUUCUCUUCUGUCAGGAGUAUGAACCAAAGUAGCCAAUCCAGAGUACAAUCUGACAUUGCUCAAAGAAAUUGAGAAUGCACAUUCCCAGGACCCAGCAAUUCACGUUUGAAAGAAGAUAUGAAUGCAGCACUGUUUAUAGUAAUGGGAAGUUGGAACAGCUUCCUGUAUUUCAGGGCAUGGCAGAUGGGCUUGGCCAUGAAAACUCCUUACCAGAGAACAUGAGUCCGUGGCUCUAAAAACAACUACAACCCAAGUACAGACACAAAGAGCCUAGUAUGAAGUCAGUUGCACAGACGCAGCCCUGGUAUACAGUGGACUCACAGCCUCUUGUUUCUAAUAAUUUCCCAGAACACCCGUGUGGCGAUGUGGAUGAAGUGGACAAGAAAAGCUCCUGUGUUUUUAUCCACGACCCUCCUGCUUGGAACAACUGAACCCCAAAUCAAAAUAAUUUCACUCCACAUCCUAAUUAUAUCAGUUGUCAACAUCUCUAGCAUCAAAAAUAUCCCGUUUAUUCCAGUUCAGUAUGUCAAGCACAAGAAAAUAUAAUCACAAGUGGGAGCGAAAAGAAACAUGAUGUGAAUCGAGAGAGCUGUUUUGCAUGAGGCAAAACUGCACUGUAGUUUGCAUUCGAAUCUAUUUCAGCAUUUGAAGAUAUGCAAUUCUUCUCCUACAAGGGUAUUAUAAUUGAUUGUGUGAUUUGUAUAAAUAAAUGAGGCUUAAAAGAAAACCACAUGACUUAAAGUUCUUUCACUAGUAAGAAUAUGUGUAAUUUGUUCUCCAGUUGGAGACUUAGAAUACUGCUGGAAAAACCUAAAUUUGUUUAAUGUUCUGCCUCUUUCCUCAUUGGCUGCCUAAUGUUUUUAAUCUAUUCAGUUCAGACCAUUUCUGAUUGAUGGG